rnacentral:rRNA from 1 species
UACGUAGGGUGCGAGCGUUAAUCGGAAUUACUGGGCGUAAAGUGUGCGCAGGUGGCCGCGCAAGUCGAGUGUGAAAUCCCCGAGCUUAACUUGGGAAUUGCGCUCGAAACUACCUGGCUCGAGUGUGGCAGAGGAAGGUGGAAUUCCACGUGUAGCGGUGAAAUGCGUAGAGAUGUGGAGGAACACCGAUGGCGAAGGCAGCCUUCUGGGCCAACACUGACGCUCAUGCACGAAAGCGUGGGGAGCAAACAGG